UUCUCCCUCCUCCCAUUUCAAAUAUCGGUCCUGUUGUUGAUGUACUUUUCUCUCUUCUUUAUCAUACAUCCUUCCUCUCUCUCGUCAGUUUUUCUACAGGAAAGAAGAGCUUCAUUUCCUUCUUCCAGAUCCAAUCUCUUUCCACUUCAUCUUUCCCCAUUUUCAAUUUCAAACGAAGAAGAAGAAGAUGGAGAUCCAUUUGUGGGUUGUGGUUUCGAUUUCAAGUGAAGAAGAAGUAAAAGCAGAUACGAUGGUGUGUUUAAAGAAAGAUGUGGAACAACACUAGACCAUGGUGUUGCAAGAAGAUGGAAGGUCCUGCAUGUGUUAAGACAAAGCUGAGACAA